rnacentral:lncRNA from 1 species
GGAAUCCCUUUGUAGGUUAACUCUUAACCGUACGUAGCAUGACCAUGCAUUUUCGGAUCCGAUCACUCGAGGGGCCCAGAGAUAUCACUCUCAAUCAGAGAGGGGCAAAUCCCAUCUUGAUUGACCAUGUCUCAUAGCAUGCUUCUUGACAAACCCGAAAGCUACCUUUAUAACUACCCUGUUACGCUGUAGCGUUUGAUAGCCCCUAAGUAGGUCGAUCCACAUCUUGAAUACAUGCGACAAUCUCAGGUCUAAGGACAAAGCGUAUAUGUUGUUUAAAGAGAGAACUACUUCUCAUGUUGGGUCAGUCCUAGCACAUGUCUCCACAUGUGCCCACAUUAUUAGUUCGACAUCUCCAUGUCUAUGACUUGUGAAACAUAGUCAUCAACUAAUACAUGUGCUAGUCUAAUAUUCAUGUGUGUCCUAACAUGAACUUCGACUAGGGACAACUUUAGAAUAACCAUACAAGUAAAAGAGUUUCACACACAAUUCACAUAAUUGUAAAUCAAUUCAAGUAGCCUUUAAUGGAUAUUCAAGGAACACAAUAUAAAUCAUGGAUACAAAUAGAAUAUCAUCAUCUCUAUGAUUGCCUCUAGGGCAUAUCUCCAACAGCCAUACCUUUAGCUCCAAGAGGACCUAGAACCCGAGAGCCUAACUCCAGUAUUUAAUAGACUACAUGAGGGAGAGGGUCAUUCUUCUUGGUGUGGCUAAGAAUGGAACCCUACUCCUCUAUUUAUAGGCCCAUAGAUGCAGUUUACAGGAGGAAUAAUUGAGGGAAUCUCCUCUAACUGAUGUAGGGAACUCGUCAACCGCCGCCACGCGUCAGCUGGGAACGAGGGGAGCCAGUGGCGGUUCGGCCGAACCAAGGGUUGGGCCGACCCCCCUCUGGCCCCACUCGCAACCGCCUUCGUAUGUGUUGGUAUUUCUUAACGUUACCGAUAAAUCCACAAGUGCACGGAAAUACCAUUGUAGCAUUUCACAAGUAAAAGAGUUUCACACACAAUUCACAUAAUUGUAAAUCAAUUCAAGUAGCCUUUAAUGGAUAUUCAAGGAACACAAUAUAAAUCAUGGAUACAAAUGAAAUAUCAUCAUCUCUAUGAUUGCCUUUGGGGCAUACCUCCAACAGUCUCCCACUUGCACUAGAGUCAAUCUAGAAGGUACCUAAUACCCAUAGCUCUUACAUACGCAUCAUGCUUAGCCUGCGGGAGUGGUUUUGUCAACGGAUCAGAAAUGUUCAGAUCCGUGUGUAUUUUGCAUAUCUUGAUCUCACCCCGGUUAACAAAGUCUCGAAUGAGAUGAAAUCGCCGCAUUACGUGUUUGUUCUUCUGGUGGUUCCUUGGCUCCUUUGCUUGCGCAAUUGCCCCAUUGUUAUCACAGUAGAGAUUCAAUGGGCUGGACGCUUUCGGGAACACACCAAGCUCAAUGAAGAAAUUCCUUAUCCAAACACCCUCCUUCGCGGCUUCCGAAGCCCCGAUGUACUCGGCUUCUGUCGUAGAAUCGGCCACCGUCUCCUGCUUGGAACUCUUCCAACUAACAGCACCACCAUUUAGCGUGAACACAAAUCCUGAUUGUGACUUUGAAUCAUCUCUGUCGGUUUGGAAACUAGCAUCGGUGUAACCUGUUACAACGAGCUCCUCGUCACCUCCAUAGACGAGGAACAUAUCUUUAGUCCUUCUCAAGUACUUAAGAAUGUUUUUCACCGCUGUCCAGUGACUCUCACCUAGAUCAGAUUGGUGUCUGCUUGUCAUACUUAGCGCAUAUGAAACAUCUGGGCGAGUACUUAUUAUUGCAUACAUGAUAGAUCCAAUAGCCGAGGCAUAUGGCACUCUACUCAUGCAAUCCCGCUCAUCAGCAGUCAAAGGACACUGAGUCUUGCUGAGAUGUAUGCCAUGUGACAUGGGCAAGAACCCUUUCUUUGCCUCUUCCACGCUGAACCACUUCAACACUUUGUCAAUGUAAGUAUCUUGGCUUAAUCCUAUAAGCCUUCUCGAUCUAUCUCUAUAAAUCUUAAUGCCCAGAAUAUACGCCGCUUCCCCUAAGUCCUUCAUCGAAAAACUAUUUUUCAGUGAAGUCUUUAUGGACUCAAGCAUAGGAAUGUUAUUUCCAAUCAGCAAUAUGUCAUCCACAUAUAAGAUUAGAAAUACUACAGAGCUCCCACUAACCUUCUUGUAAACACAAGACUCUUCUUCGUUCUUGGUGAAGUCAAACCCUUUGACCACUUCAUCAAAAUGAAUGUUCCAACUCCUAGAUGCUUGCUUCAAUCCAUAAAUGGAUCUUUGAAGCUUGCAUACCUUUCUAGCAUUUUUCGGAUCGACAAAACCCUCAGGCAGUAUCAUAUACACGUCCUCAGCUAGGUUUCCAUUCAGGAAAGUUGUCUUGACAUCCAUCUGCCAUAUCUCAUAAUCGAAAUAUGCAACUAUAGCUAGAAUAAUCCGAAUGGACUUAAGCAUCACUAUGGGCGAGAAAGUCUCGUCGUAGUCAACUCCUUGAACUUGUCGAAAACCUUUUGUGACAAGUCGUGCUUUAUAGAUGUGAACAUUUCCAUCCAUGUCCUUUUUCUUCUUAUAGAUCCACUUGCACUCUAUGGCUUUAACACCAUCAGGCGGGUCAACCAAGUUCCAAACUUGAUUGUCUCCCAUGGACUCUAUUUUGAAUUGCAUGACACUCUGCCAUUUUUUGGAGUCUAGGUCCAUCAUUGCUUCUGCAUAUGUCGCAGGCUCAUCAUUGUCCAACAAUAAUAUUUCCCGCAUUUCACGGAGCCUUGCCGACCUUCGUGGUUGUGGCGGUGCUUCUCUUGCCAUGGGUAUCUCAACUUGUUCUGCUACAUUAGCAUCACUCAUUGAUUCUUGCCUGAUCGGCUCAUCUUGAACUUCUUCAAGAUGCACUGUCUUUCCACUCUUUUCUCCUUUGAGAAACUCUUUCUCUAGGAAAACCCCGUUCCGAGUGACAAACACUUUGCCCUCUGACCGGUUGUAGAAAUAAUAUCCCAAAGUUUCCUUUGGAUAUCCCACGAAAAUGCACUUAUCCGACUUGGGUGUGAUCUUGUCCAACUGAAGUCGCUUGAAAAAUACUUCACAUCCCCAAAUCUUUAGAAAAGAUAAACUAGGAACCUUUCCAGUCCGCAUCUCAUAUGGUGUCUUAACUACGGAUUUAGAUGGUACCCUAUUAAGUGUGAAAGCUGUUGUUUCUAGAGCGUAUCCCAAAAAUGACAACGGUAGGUCCGACUGGCUCAUCAUUGAUCGAACCAUGUCUAACAAAGUUCGAUUACGUCGCUCGGAUACACUGUUUCUCUGAGGUGUUCCAGGCGGCGUAAGCUGUGGAACAAUUCCGCAACUCUUUAGAUGAUUGCUAAACUCGUGGCUCAAAUACUCACCUCCACGAUCAGAUCGUAAGGCCUUAAUUUUCUUGCCACGCUGAUUUUCAACUUCAUUCUGAAAUUCCUUGAACUUUUCAAGGUUUCGGACUUGUGCCUCAUCAAGUAGACAUUGCCAUAUCUACUGAAAUCAUCAGUGAAAGUUAUGAAGUAUUGGAAUCCUCCUCUAGCCGUCGUGCUCAUUGGUCUGCAUACAUCACUAUGUACGAGUUCCAACAAGUCUACUGCUCUCUCAAGAAAUCCUGUGAAAGGCGUCUUGGUCAUCUUGCCUAGCAAGCAAGCCUCACAUGUCUCGUAUGAUUCAAAAUCAAACGAAGUUAGAAGUCCAUCAGAAUGGAGCUUCUUCCUGCGCUUUUCACUUAUAUGACCCAAACGACAAUGCCAUAAGUAGGUAGGACUCAAUUCAUUAGGCCGAGGCCUUUUAGCACUUACGUUACAGACAGGUGAACCAUCAAGAUUUUAAACAAAUAAUCCAUUCACAAUGGGUGCAAAAGCCAUAAACAUAUCAUUCUUAGAGAUCACACAACCAUUGUUUUCACUCGCAAAUGAAUAACCAUCCUUCAUCAAGCAUGAAGGAGACAAAAUAUUUUGACUUAAACUAGGAACGAAAUAACAAUUAUUCAACUCCAUAAUAAAUCCUGACGGGAGGUGGAGUUGCAUCGUCCCGACGGUCAACACAGCAACUCUUGCAUUAUUGCCCACGCGGAAAUCAACUUCUCCUCUUUCCACGCUUCUACUUCUUAUCAUUCCCUGCAUCGAAUUGCAAAUAUGAGCAACCGAUCCGGUAUCAAAUACCCAAGAAUUAAUAAUUGUAUCAACGAGAAAUAUGUUGUCUAUAACAUUAACAAUAAGCGUACCUGAGGUAGAAGUACUCUUACUUCCACCAUUCUUCAACGGAGCUAGGUACUACUUGCAGUUCCUCUUCCAGUGACCAGGUUCGUGACAAUAAAAGCACUCUUUAUCUGGAGCAGGUCCAACUUUAGCCUUGGGCGCUGGGUUUGGCUUGGACAUUCCAGCCUUACCCUUCUUCUUCCCAGAAUUGCCCUUCUUCUUGAAGGUAGGCUUGUUCUGUACAGCCAUCACAUGGCUGGUACUAGCACUUUUCUUAAUGUCUACCUCUGCUGUCUUGAGCAUACCACACAGUUCAUUCAGACCCUUCUCCGUCCCAUGCAUAUGGUAGUUCGAGAUGAAGUUCCCAUAGCUAGGCGGAAGAGAUGAAAGAAUGAAGUCAGUGGCCAACUCUCUGCCCAUUGGGAAGCCCAGCAUCUCCAAUCGCUGAGUGUAACCAACCAUCUUUAUUACAUGUGGUCCUACUGAUGCGCCUUCUGCUAGCUUGCACUCCAGAAAGGCUUUGGACACAUUGAACCUUUCAGUCCUAGCCUAUGUCUGGAACAUGUCCUUGAGCGCCACGAUCAUAUCGUGUGCCUCAUGAUUUGUUUCGAACUGCAUCUGCAGCUCGGGUUCCAUGCAAGCAAGCAUAAGGCAGCUUACCUCAAGAUUAGCAUCAAAUGCCUUCUUGUAAGCAGCCUUAACGGCAGCAGAUGCAUCAUCAGCAGGUACUGGUGGUAGUGGGGUGUCUAGAACAUCUUCCUUUUUAUCGGCCCUGAGAACAAUUCUUAGGUUACGGAUCCAAUCCGAGUAGUUUGUUCCAUUGAACUUGUCCUUCUCAAGGACCGAACGCAAAGCAAACGGUGUGGUGUUGCUAGGUGCCAUUUAAUCUACAACAAAAGUAAUGCAAAAUACACUAAGAAAAAUGUAUCCAUGCUAGAGCAAAUCACAUUAAACUAUUUUAACAGAAUCUACUCCCACUAAAAUCAAUAUCCCUCUAUUGAUACUUAGUGAUUCAGGAUCCACAACUAACAAGUCUACUAGUGAGCUUUAGCAUCACCGCUAGCAAACAAGGUAGAUCGGUAAGCAACUUCUUGCUAAUCAUAUCACAUAUGACUCCUGUUGUUGGGUGACAUCUCCAUGUCUCGAUGCCCAACCUUUAUGCCCCAAGGUCCUUAACCAUUAAGUUAACCUUGUUAAGCAAACCAACCCUUAUGCGUGUAAGUGUCCGACACAAACCCGUCUAGUCAAGGAAAACUAGUGGCACCCUAAUUUCAUAGACCCACCACUAAUUGUACAAGACAUGGGACGGUGCAAGUUUUAGUUGGGAGGGCAUACUAACUUAAACUUUGUGAGGGAUCAUUCUACUUCUAACAUCACAACAUGCAGAAAGUAAAACAUAAACAGAAUAGCAUUCACACAGUUGUGACACAGUAUGGUCCAUUUUCUUAUGGUGAUCUCCAUCUCCAUGUUCCAUGUGUGCCAUCCUCCUGGUGAUGAGUCCUCCAAGAACUAGAACAUGCUAUUACGCCUAAUAGCUAGUAAUGAAGAUUACAUAGUUGCUUGGAUCAUCACAGAUUGGUACGCAGACCAUUAAAUACAUUAAGGUGACAACACAUAUGGCUCCUGCCGUGUUGUCAUACGCGCAACACGCAGGUCACGAAUGAGUUACACACAUGCAUCACAUACAUAAAGGGGCCAUACUGAUCACAAGAUACAUACAUUCAUCCUGCAAAACAGAGUUAAGCGUCCUAACAUUCCAAACUUCGGAGGCCCGAAACUCUAUCUUCCAAGCCGAAUUUGGGAAAUCUAAUUUCGCCGAAAACAGCAAAGCUGUUGAAUUUUAUGUGUAACUUUUUCUGUAGAUCAAUUUUCAUAUAAAAUUUGCCCCAAUCCGAGAUUGUACCGAAAAGUUACGGCUGAUUUACCAAAGCAUACGCACACGACAAAAAUCCCGACCCCGGUAGUAGAUCCCAUCUACUAUUGCACAUCUCAUGCGCCUGGCGUAUGAACCUGGAUUUCUAUUCGACCAAUCACAUUGAUCUUCGCUCACUGCAACUAGAAUUACAUGUAUCACUUAACUCCGAUGGCGGAAACCGACCGGUAGGAGUAUGUCGUUACACUACCAUUGCAACAAGAACACGAAACCAGGACAUAGAUCAAACUGAAAACUUGCAUAUCUCCAUAUGCACACAUCCCAAAUCCAAAAUAAAGUAGCUACAGCUCUAAUACCACUGUUGGGAUACUAGGUAGGCUACACUAGCGCAAAACAAAAAUUUUCUACCGCAUAAACCAGGAAAACUGCCGUAUAAGGAUCACGGGAUUACCACUCGACGCACUACUGGUGCGGAAGAUGUAGAUUCACGUCGAUGCAGCGAAGUUGAUCAAUGUAAUCGUACGUAGUCGAUCACAUCGACGUCCAGCAGCUCCUCAGCAGCUCAUCCACAUGCAGCAAGAUCUCCCUCGUUCCGCGGCUCGACGUCAGCUCAUCGUGGCUCGUGGGCGGCUCGUCGUGGCUCGUCGGCGGCUCGUCCAUGUGCUGCAGGCGCAACACCUCCAAGGUAUCCACAUGUGCAGGGAGGAAGCAUCGCAAGCUGGACUACUAGAUCCGUGAGUUGCAACAGGUGAGGGCGUGGGAGGCGCGGCAGAUGAGUUUCGCCAAAAAGUGUCAACCCUAGGGCACCCCCACCCCUCUAUUUAUAGAGGUUCCCAACGGGCCUCUGGGUCCGAGGCCCAUUAGUACUUCUAAACCUAAUCCAACUCGGAUCACAUCCGAAUUGGGCUUCCAGCCCCUUAAGUGUGCGACCCUAUGGGUUCGAAUACGUAUAGACAUAGCCCGAGUACUCCUACUCGGCCCAAUAGUCGGCAGCGGCCUCUAGCAAGACGUGCCAACUCCUAUACGCACACGAAGAUCAUAUCAGACGAACCAUCACAACGUUAUAUACAUGCUAUUCCCUUUGCCUCACGAUAUUUGGUCUAGCUUCAAGCCGAUCACUCUUUCUCGAUCCUGUGAUUCGAAAUCCCUUUGUAGGUUAACUCUUAACCGUACGUAGCAUGGCCAUGCAUUUUCGGAUCUGAUCACUCGAGGGGCCCAGAGAUAUCACUCUCAAUCAGAGAGGGGCAAAUCCCAUCUUGAUUGACCAUGUCUCAUAGCAUGCUUCUUGACAAACCCGAAAGCUACCUUUAUAACUACCCUGUUACGGCGUAGCGUUUGAUA